rnacentral:lncRNA from 1 species
AUGCCAGAGGCUCUAUUUCCUAGCAUUUUACAGCUCCUAUAACUGUAGAAUGGUUGUAGGUCACAGGUAUAACCAAUGAAAACACAACCUAAGAUACAAAUCAGGAGCUACUGAUGCAAAGAAUGGGGACCAGGAGGAAGAGUUUCUUCGAGACCUGGUGGUUGAAGAGCAGUGGAUCAUUCUUGGCUGUGGUGGGAGAGGUGCUGAACGUUGUUCACGCUGGCUAUGUCAUGAGUGGAAUCUAUGGCGUCAAGGCUAGAGCUGGAGGGAAUGGGCUCCCCAUUGAGGUGAUGGACUUCAUCCCUGGUGCUAUUCAAGCAGUGGCUGUGGGCUUCCAGUCAGGGAUGCAGUGAAUGAGCCUCUUAUACCAGAGAAGGAUGGAUAGAGAAAAGCAUCAUUACAAAAGUGAAAUGUGUGAAUUUUAUUCUGGCUUUGAACAUUGAGUAGACGAAGAAGACAAUUCCAGACGGAGGAAACUCCACAAGAAAUAUCAUGGAAAUUUGAAAGAACACAGUGGGCUUGGGAAGAGAGAUCUCAGUGGUGGAAGCACCAUCAUCCCAAGGAGACUUAGGACAUUAUUUGAAGAGAGUUUUCCCCUGAGGAAAGUGCUUCAGAGGAGAAAAUACACCAGAAAAAGACAAGGCCCUGCUCUGAGGAGUGAAGACACAAUCCAGCAGGCAGGAGGGAUGGCUAAGUUCAAAGUCUUGAGAAGUGCCCCUCAUGGACACCCCAGGGUGCCCAUCUCCAGGUUACCACCAGGUGCUUCCAAGACCAAGAUAACCAGGCAAUCAUAGUAGAUGCAUCAAUGCACCCUUGCCCAAGGGCCUAGACAAGAGGAGGAAGGAAAGGAGGAGCACGUGCACAAAGCUAAGGAGGUGAUUAACAACAUGAUACAGUAUUGUUUAGCUUCGCAUGAAUUUUAUCACCUUGCCUAGAACCAGCCACCAUCUGCCAGGGCUCCUGACUUUUUCUGAAAUGAAUAGACACUAAAGCCUGCUGGGGAAUUUCAUGGAAAUCAAGAUGACUCAACCCAGAGUCCAUUUCAAGGCUAGGAUGCUAGAGGACGCCAACAAAGGAGUAGGGAAGUGAAACGGAUCAGCUCACAUCCAAGCCCUUGCAUGAUCAAUCCUGCAGUAGGAGUGCUGCUCAGUUGGGACUCAUGAGAGCCCGGAAGAGGAAAAAGCAGCUCUAAGCAUAGCAAAGAAGCUGUUAUGGAAAAGACCCAAAUGUUAAAAUGGUGGACAUAGUAAAGUGAUUGGUUCUGCUUAGGGGAAUCUAGAUCCCCACAUUUUGACCUCCACUGGAGUCUCAGAAGAACAAGUGCCAGGGGGGCUUGCCACAGAGGCCAAGGCAGUGAAUGUCAGGCACAUCACAGUCCCCAAGAUGGGGAGAAGACUGAGAUGCAGGGUAACAACUGCAAUCCAUUCAUGGGAGCCAUGUUUAUCUUAAAUCAUUGACAGUGAGAUAAGGAUCAUGUCAGCCUUCAUACCUUUGAUGAUGAUCCCAGGCUGCAACAGUGACACAUAGAACUGGAUUCAGUAACUAACUACAGAUUCCAUCAACCAGGACUAGUAAAGUGAAAGGCAGAAAUUGGGAGGAGGGGUUUCUUUCUUGCUUAUAAAACUUUAUUUGGUUGUGUUGAGUAUGUGCAUGUAUGUAUGAAAUCCCAUAAAGCAGUCUUCUUAGGAACAAGCCAACAUGCCACAAUGUAGGAGAUCUUUGGAGCACUGGCCUAAAUGGCAGAGAGCUCAAGGGACUCUGCUUUGUACAAGGCAUGAUUUGUACCACCACCACUAUCCCUGUUUCAGAGCACUGUUGAAUUGUUCCAAACCUGGAUUUCUAUGUCAGCUCCCUGUCUAUAGUACUUGACUGAUAAAUGCUAGUUUCUGAAAUCUGCUUUGGUUCUAUAAUUUAUUAGACAGCUUUUUCUUCCCAUUUUAUUACUUGUUUUUACUGUCAUUGGUAUAUUAUCUCUUACAGUGAAAACAUUCAUAGGCUGAUUGAAGAGAAGAUCUGAAAUUAUUAGGCAGCAAGCAUACAAAACCCUUGCUUUAUAAAGAUAAUAUCUUAAAGGCCUAAUGUCUAUGGUUCAAAGCAGCCUGGAGAUGUUGGCUAAAUCUUCCAUCAUAGAGUCCUCAUGGGAUCUGGAAGCUCUGAUUUAUCUUCCUUCAGGCCCUAUAAGUUAGCUUUCCACAUCUGUAGGUUCCACA